rnacentral:rRNA from 1 species
UACAGAGGGGGCGAGCGUUGUUCGGAAUUACUGGGCGUAAAGGGCGCGUAGGCGGCCUUCUAAGUCGAACGUGAAAUCCCCGGGCUCAACCCGGGAACUGCGUCCGAUACUGGGAGGCUUGAAUCCGGGAGAGGGAUGUGGAAUUCCAGGUGUGGCGGUGAAAUGCGUAGAUAUCUGGAGGAACACCGGUGGCGAAGGCGGCAUUCUGGACCGAAACUGACGCUGAGGCGCGAAAGCCAGGGGAGCAAACGGG